UUAUCAAGGCACGUAAAUUAUUAUUACGAUAAUUAAUUAUUAAUAAUAAUUAUCAGGACGUAUUAUAUUACUAAUGAGUUUCUCAUUAAUUACUCGAAAAAUAGCAUGACUUUAAAUAAAGUCAAAUAAACCUGGAAUAAAAGGCCUUAGUAUUUCAUUUAUAAAUAAAUGCCGGAAAAAUAGUAAAAAAUAGAGUGCCUACUACUUAUUUGAAAUCUCUGAAUAGACGACCUCAUUCAUAUCGUCGCAAAGUGUUUAAAUCGUAAUGGAAGUUUAUACAUGUACUGGAUUUAAACGUUGUAAAGAGGAAAGAUAAAAGAUAAAAGUGAAAAAUGAGAAAUGAAGAUGAAGAAGAUAAAAAAAGGGAAUCUAGUGAAAAGUUAGGGGAAAUGGAUAGAACAAACUCCGGGAGUUAUUUUAUCAAAUUAUGUACUUAUGUACCGAGGCAAAUAAAUAUGAUAAAAUAUUUAUGUCACAAGAUGUUCACGGAACUCUCCAAGAGUCUGCUCUACUAACUUGUAAGUUCUCUGUCGUGUAUUUCUUGCCACUAAACGAGGCGAGAAGACCGUUAGCAACGGAAGGUGACAAUCUAUACGUCUAUAUAUAUAGAAUGUAUAUAUAUAAAUUUUUUUUUGCCACAGAAAAUAAAUGGUUUUACAUUG